GGAUAGAUAUAGUUCAGUGGUCCAGCACCUGCUUUGUAUGUAGAAGGUACCAGGUUCAAUUCCCAGUAUCUCCA